CAAUAGCGUAUAUUUAAGUUGUUGCAGUUAAAAAGCUCGUAGUUGGAUUUCGGGUGGGACGCAGCGGUCUCGCAUUGCGUUUGUACUGCUGCAGCCCUCCUUCUUGCCGGGGGCGGCCUCUCGGACUUCACUGUCUGGGGGUCAGAAUCGGCGAUGUUACUUUGAGUAAAUUAGAGUGUUCAAAGCAAGCUUACGCUCUGAAUAUAAUAGCAUGGGAUAACACGACAGGACUCUGGCCUAUCGUGUUGGUCUAUAGGACCAGAGUAAUGAUUAAGAGGGACAGUCGGGGGCAUUCGUAUUCCUUUGUCAGAGGUGAAAUUCUUGGAUUUACGGAAGACGAACAUCUGCGAAAGCAUUUGCCAAGGAUGUUUUCAUUG
rnacentral:rRNA from 1 species